GGAGACUCAGCACUAGAAAAGGGGGAGUAAUUUGUUUUAUGGAUCAGAGGGUAGAUCUAAGUUCAUGCAGUGUAUACCUGUCCAAAGAAACCAGAAGCAGAAUGAAGGCCCAGCUAUACGUACUAUAUAACUAUGAGUGGCAGAGGAUUAGCAGAAACUGCAGGGGCAUUAACCAUACAGUAAACUUGCUUCAUUAAACUAAAGUAUGUAUGCCUAUAGUGUCACUUUAAGAAGCACACUUCUUUAAUUUACUUUCCAACAAGCAAUACUCCAUUUU